GAGGGGAUCUGAAGAUGCGUGGAUCGAUUUCGCAAGAUUUUUCUGUGCGUCUUAUUCAAAGGAGGAGAUUACACGAACUUUUUGACCCGAGCCGUCCGUCGAGUUCACUCUCUUCGCUUUGUGUGUUCCGACCUGUCUUCCGGAGUGCCGAUUCGCACUCCGUUCGAGCCUAUUCAGAAACAAUCGAACGACGAAUUGCAAGAUUUGAAAGUUUUACCUCGGCCGUAACGUCUUCCGUCUAAAUUUCUCGAAGUAGAAAAUACCCGCCCACCAAUUUGCAGAAGUGUGACAUGUACCCGCUACCGCAGCCGCUAGGGUUUCUUUUCUUCGGCACAAAACGGCGUUUUGUCAAAAAAAUAGUUUCUUUCACGUCCGACAGGCACCAAUGAGCGGCGUGGCGAUACGUUCCUACCACCCUAUAGAUGAGAUCUCGACGCGGUGCAAACGGUGGAGAAAAAUGAAACGAAAAGAUUGGCAAAGUCGCCAACGCGCGGUUGGAAGAGUACAAGCAAGGUAUAAGUUGGCUCUGUACACAGCAGCAGCUGCAGAGCGAGAAGAGGAAGCAGGGAAGAAGAAGAACAAGAAGAAGAAGAAGAAGAAGAAGAGGUUGGUGCAGAGUAUUGGUAUGUUGAAAGGUGGAAAGGAAGAGAGAAGCAAGGCAGAGAGGUAAGGAGGAAAGAUGGGAGCGCGGAGAGAAAGAGGAAUAUUGUAAAGUCGAUUUGGCGCACGUGGAAGGAAUCGGGAGAUUUUCAUGCAGCACCGAAAUACGGACAAUUUAUUUCCAGAGACGAAGAUACGCCUCGCGUGACGGACGAGAGUUGCAGCGAGGUGCAGCGGAGGUGGAAAAGCGUCCGCCUCCGAAGAUUCUUGAAAAGCUCGAUCCGCGAUCCGCUCGAAUGGCGAAGCCGGAGGCGCCGAUCGCGGGUUUAAUGACGAUAAGAUCUCUUAUACUGUCAUUACGUUAGUCUUUUAACGAGGCCGCCUCGCCCCGGCGCUAUUCAUAUUUUCCUCAAACCGGUUGGGGAAGAAGGUGAGAUCAGUUAAGCUCGCCUAAAGAGGGAUGCGGGAAAGAGGAAUAAAAGAGCGUUGCAGAGGACGGAAGAGAAGUGACUGGCAUCGAGGAGGAUAAACUCCCUGUAAUUCAUAUCUUCACCGAUUCCGUGUUCGUAAAUUUAUGGUAAACAGCGAUCGUGAAGUGAGUGAAGAAAUUUCAUUAGCUUAAUUUGAAAAACCGUAGCUUGUACACGUUUAUUUAACAUCGUUUCAGACGAAUAUUCGAACUUGUUUUUUUCAUCUAGACGGCAAUCAACUGAAUUAACAAUCAUCGUGGGUAUUAAUUCUGUCAGAUGUUAUGCUUGAUGAAUAAUCUGGUCGUAAAAUAUACGGUGAAACGAAGAUCAAACUGUUUUCGAUGAGCACGCGGUUCGGUUAGAUUCAUAUCUACCCUGGAAGUGAAGAAAAAAAAAUAUCCUUCCGGAUGCUACGUAAGCAGAACAGGAAAUCGAUCUGCUGGAAAAAAAUGACUGAGUUUGUUAGCGAAAUGGCUUUGAAUUACAGCUGGCGUACUUGACGUAAUUAUUUUCUUGCCUUAUUAAAAGUUGUAAUAGACGUAAAAGCGGUUUUAUUUCGUUACUUAUUUUAUUUAUUUCGUUUACUUGGUAGAACUUGGUUACAGCAUGUGAAGUAAUUACUGGAAUCAGUUGAGUGAAUCAACUAUUGAAAUCUUGUUUAUUUAUAUAAGAAAUAAUAGGCAAGCGACAAUCUAUUCUUGAGAGUCAUUCGCUAUCGUUUAUUUCAAACGAUACGGUUAAACGCAGGAACGGUUGCUAAAUUGAUUGCUUUAUUUUUUGCAACAAUUAUAACAGUAUUGUAAUUAUUACGAUGAUCAGAUACUUGGGCAAUUAAAGAAUGACCCACUUUUAACUGACAUACAAAUUGUCAUAAUGUAAAUCAGUUUCUUUUAAGAUAAUUCAGAUAGAAAUUCGAAAGUGCAGACGUGAAAAUUAAUUCAGACUAGAGAUGAAUAGAAAAUUCUUUGCCCGUUACCAAAUCCAUAACUACGUGAAAUUGCCUGUUAUUAUUAUUGUCAUCUUCACAUCAGCACGGCUUCAUUUCGUUUCAUUUUGAAGCCUAAUUAAUUUUGACGUUUACUCAGAAAUUGACAUAUUUUUACCACCUCUCAAGACAAACUUGAAAUAUUAUUCGAGCAAAACGAAAAUUGAAAACGAAGAGAAAAUGUCCUAUAA